rnacentral:rRNA from 1 species
UACAGAGGUCUCAAGCGUUGUUCGGAUUCAUUGGGCGUAAAGGGUGCGUAGGUGGCGCGGUAAGUCGGGUGUGAAAUUUCGGAGCUUAACUCCGAAACUGCAUUCGAUACUGCCGUGCUUGAGGACUGGAGGGGAGACUGGAAUUUACGGUGUAGCGGUGAAAUGCGUAGAGUAUCGAUGAAGGAAGACCAGUGGCGAAGGCGGGUCUCUGGACAGUUCCUGACGCUGAGGCACGAAGGCCAGGGGAGCAAACGG